rnacentral:rRNA from 1 species
UACAGGGGGGGCAAGCGUUGUCCGGAAUUAUUGGGCGUAAAGAGCUCGUAGGCGGUCUGUCACGUCUGCUGUGAAAACUCGGGGCUUAACUCCGGGCCUGCAGUGGGUACGGGCAGACUAGAGUGCGGUAGGGGAGACUGGAAUUCCUGGUGUAGCGGUGAAAUGCGCAGAUAUCAGGAGGAACACCGGUGGCGAAGGCGGGUCUCUGGGCCGUAACUGACGCUGAGGAGCGAAAGCGUGGGGAGCGAACAGG